GUGCCAGCCGCCGCGGUAAUACAGAGGUCCCAAGCGUUGUUCGGAUUCACUGGGCGUAAAGGGUGCGUAGGUGGUGGGGUAAGUCGGAUGUGAAAGCUCGGAGCUCAACUCCGAAAUGGCAUUGGAAACUACCCCGCUCGAGGGAUGGAAGGGGGACUGGAAUUCUCGGUGUAGCAGUGAAAUGCGUAGAUAUCGAGAGGAACACCAGUGGCGAAGGCGAGUCUCUGGACAUCUCCUGACACUGAGGCACGAAAGCUAGGGGAGCAAACAGGAUUAGAAACCCUCGUAGUCC
rnacentral:rRNA from 1 species